rnacentral:rRNA from 1 species
CCUGGGAACUGCGUUNUGAACUGGGUGACUAGAGUGUNUCAGAAGGAGGUAGAAUUCCACGUGUAGCAGUGAAAUGCGUAGAGAUGUGGAGGAAUACCGAUGGCGAAGGCAGCCUCCUGGGAUAACACUGACGUUCAUGCCCGAAAGCGUGGGUAGCAAACAGGAUUAGAUACCCUGGUAGUNCACGCCCUAAACGAUGUCGAUUAGCUGUUGGGCAGCAUGACUGCUUAGUAGCGAAGCUAACGCGUGAAAUCGACCGCCUGGGGAGUACGGUCGCAAGAUUAAAACUCAAAGGAAUUGACGGGGACCCGCACAAGCGGUGGAUGAUGUGGAUUAAUUCGAUGCAACGCGAAGAACCUUACCUGGUCUUGACAUGUACGGAAUCCUCCAGAGACGGAGGGGUGCCUUCGGGAGCCGUAACACAGGUGCUGCAUGGCUGUCGUCAGCUCGUGUCGUGAGAUGUUGGGUUAAGUCCCGCAACGAGCGCAACCCUUGUCAUUAGUUGCCAUCAUUAAGUUGGGCACUCUAAUGAGACUGCCGGUGACAAGCCGGAGGAAGGUGGGGAUGACGUCAAGUCCUCAUGGCCCUUAUGACCAGGGCUUCACACGUCAUACAAUGGUCGGUACAGAGGGUAGCCAAGCCGCGAGGUGGAGCCAAUCUCACAAAACCGAUCGUAGUCCGGAUUGCACUCUGCAACUCGAGUGCAUGAAGUCGGAAUCGCUAGUAAUCGCAGGUCAGCAUACUGCGGUGAAUACGUUCCCGGGUCUUGUACACACCGCCCGUCACACCAUGGGAGUGGGGGAUACCAGAAGUAG